rnacentral:telomerase_RNA from 10 species
AACCAACAAACUGAAGUCAACAACACCUUCGACCUCCAACGCCCGACCAUAUUGAUCCUCGCAAUGCCCGAAUGGGCCCAACCACAAGUCGGUCUCUGUUUUGAUCCUUGGAAACUCACCCGAAAUACAGUCAGAAGUCAAGCCUGUCGAGUUUCACAGUCAAGACGCGCUGGCCCGAACGGCGACGACAGCCAUUCCCAUCGAGUCUUUCAGCCCUCUCGCUCAGAGCACGGCGCCUCCCCCACAGUUCUCCGAUUCCAGUUUUCCCGUAAAGGAAUGUCCUUGGUGGCCGCUCAGGUGUUCGGUUCUUCCGCAGUACGUCGCAGCUUCGAGUCCUGUAUCAGGAGCCUUCUCAAGCUUUGCCGCGCAUGGGAUUACUGCGGAUUUCGGGGUUUUUAACCCCACCUUUUCCGGCGCCUAGAGUGAACUGGUCUCGGAACUUAACCCUAAGUAUACACUGGUCACAUCCCAAGUCUUGCGCGCUUCGGCAGUCAAAUCUACCCUUCGCCUUCUACGUCUGCGUCAUCGUGUGUUUGCCUUCGGGGUCUAUGGCGCCGCUGAAAAGUUGCGUCCUCUGGGCUCUUGGUAUUCUACUGGGUGGCAAGGGCUGACCGGCAAGGGAAGAAGUUUCCAGUCAUCUUGUGCCACUUCGGUGCGCAGAUGGGCGAGGUGUCCGGUCCCAUGAGUCAAAAGCCGGUAAGAACCUCUGGCCCGAGGUCGCUCGUCAGGACUGGACCACUGGACGCAGCACUCUGGUCACCAUAGCGGGUUGUUCUGCACAUGUCCCGUGGCUAGGUAUACCGCGUUGGGGUAAGACACAUUUGGGUGCCCUGCCAUGCCUGUCAUCCAGAAGUUCUUUCUGGCACUGACUCGUGGGGCUUUGCGUUCGCAACGCAUGCUCUGUGGAGUGACGAGGGGAGAGCGAAGACAUGGCUACACACGAUCACAUCCCUCAUUUCAUCUUUCGGGUCUUCAGCUUGCCUCGCCUGAAUCACUGCACUCGUGUGGUGAGCGGGGGCUGCAUGGCUACAAACGGAAAUGCUGGGAAGGAUUUUUUCCCUGCCUGUCUGUCGCGCUCUCUGCACCCUCCGAUCUCUCUCUUCUAUCGCAUGCGCAGGAGCGGAUACCCACUUGUACGUCUUCCUCCCGGAUAACCUCCACCGACUCUGUGGAACCGCGUUCGGCAACAUACCGUCAACGUGUCAUUGGCUUGUGUGUCAUUGAGAUCCCCGGCCAGGCGCAUUAACCGAUCUGCACGUAUGGCUUCGUCCUACGUCGCGAUUUGGACGCCAGAACCAUGUUUGUUCAAAUCUUCGGUCCGCAAGGAGAGAAGCUCUUUGGCAAACACCUUCCUUUCAACUGGGGUGCGCUGAAAAGUUCACUUCCGGGAGAGAGAUGAUAGCACGGUUUUUGAGGACGCAUUUUGUCCGUGCGGUAAUGCCCUCCUUUACACUUUCUCGCAUGGUGCGGGAGUGUGGAGAGGAAACAAAAGCUAGUCUCAGUUGGCAGUGUUCUACACACGGAAAGACUCAUGGGACGGUUAUCUCGACGAUUUGGCUAUCGAUUUGGCUGCCGACACUUGACGACUACCAUGUUAAUGACGGUGCGGUUUCUUAUGGAGGGCUGAACAAGUCCGCCAUGACUUGCUGGUUUGGACUGUGAGAGUGGUGGUUGGGUGUCUCAAGUAUCCUCUGGGGGUGUCCGUGUCCGUUCCGGGGGAAGAAGGGUGUUUUUGGACCAAACUCGUUGAAAACCAAUGCUUUUGCUGCCCUUGGAUUUCGGGGGAUGGUAGUUGUGGAUUUCUAGGGAAGAGAACCAAAGGUCGGGACCCAUCUUGAGUUGGAGUCAAAGUUUCGUACUUGUCUGGCCUUUGGACCCCCUCUUCCUUGGUCUUCACUCCUGGCCUAGUCUGUGUCCUUGCGGAGGCUGGCUUUGCUGUUUGAGGUUUUGGUCCUUUAGGACAGGGGACUGCCUUCCUGGAAAGUGGUCUCCGGUUGUUCCUCGUUCCUGGAAGAUGGCGGGAGGAACAACCCCUCACAUUUUUUGAGG